GAUGAACGCUGGCGGCGUGCCUAAUACAUGCAAGUCGAGCGAACAGAUGAGGAGCUUGCUCCUCUGACGUUAGCGGCGGACGGGUGAGUAACACGUGGAUAACCCACCUAUAAGACUGGGAUAACUUCGGGAAACCGGAGCUAAUACCGGAUAAUAUAUUGAACCGCAUGGUUCAAUAGUGAAAGACGGUUUUGCUGUCACUUAUAGAUGGAUCCGCGCCGCAUUAGCUAGUUGGUAAGGUAACGGCUUACCAAGGCAACGAUGCGUAGCCGACCUGAGAGGGUGAUCGGCCACACUGGAACUGAGACACGGUCCAGACUCCUACGGGAGGCAGCAGUAGGGAAUCUUCCGCAAUGGGCGAGAGCCUGACGGAGCAACGCCGCGUGAGUGAUGAAGGUCUUCGGAUCGUAAAACUCUGUUAUUAGGGAAGAACAAAUGUGUAAGUAACUAUGCACGUCUUGACGGUACCUAAUCAGAAAGCCACGGCUAACUACGUG
rnacentral:rRNA from 1 species